GUUUUAGUAUGUUUUUAUUUUAUUUUU
rnacentral:sRNA from 1 species